AACAUCAUAUCGGCGCAUUGAAGUGAUGAACAUUAAUUGAGCUAUUGCUGCACGUGCCAUCAUCAUUGAAAAUGACCUUGUUGUCCAGCAUAGCCGCUAUAUGGGCCUACAUCUGUUGCAAUUCUGUCCUAAUCUUCUUCCCCGUGGUUGACUGCUAGUCUUUUUUUUACAAACUCAAGCGCCCUAAGGAGGGCCUCCCUGCUUUCAUUAAAAUCAGAAACCAAAAGGCUGGCAGUUUGAGUAACAUCACAUACCUCAAAGAUAGAAAACUACAAUCAUGCCCUCAAGAUACACGUGCUGAGAGACAACAACACACGUCAAUUGUUGCUUCACGAGCUGCCACCACGUAGCACAAUGCCUACCACGUACACGUGCUGAGAGACAACAACACACGUCAAUUGUUGCUUCACGAGCUGCCACCACGUAGCACAAUGCCUACCACGUGUCUCGCAUGACCGCUGGUCUUGAUUCCAUCCACCAGUCUUCGUCCCAUUCCUCUCCCCCUGUACUCGUACUGAAGUGAAGUGAGGAAGCAGCUGGAGGAGGCGGACGAGGGCACCUUGGGUUCCAUCUUCGCGGCGGCUCACACUGCAACUUGGCGGUGGAGCAGCUCCCGCUGCAGCUCGGAGGCGCUGCGGCUCCAUCUGCAUCUCGGCGGCCCGGCAGCUCGGAGUUGCAGCGGCUCCAUCUGCAUCCCUACGGCCCAGCAGCUCCCACUGCAGCUCGGAGCCACGAAAUCGGUAGAUGGCGCCACCGUUUCUCGUAUGGGUGAGCCAAAUCUACGCAGUUGCCACUGUCACUCCCCGCGUCUGUUCCGGCUGUGCUGGCACUCCCUGAAGCUGGUGACUUUCCAUGACAAAGGAGGCUCCAGCAAGACGAUACGACCGCUGUUUCCACUCAGAGUAUGGACUGGGCAACGAAGUUUCAAUCCAUGGUGAUGUCUACAGCUACGGCAUAUUGUUGCUGGAGAUGUUCACUGGAAGAAGGCCAACAGACAGCGAAUUCGGAGAAUCCUGUGCAAAUGGCAUUGCCAGAAAGGGCGGCAGAGGUCAUAGACCGAGACUUACUAGCAGAGACAGAAGAUGGCAAAGAAACCAGCUCAAACUCUAAUAGCAAUAUGGGUCUGAGAAUUGCUUGCAUCACUUCAGUUCUGGGCACUGGUAUUUCGUGCUCACAGGAGACACCAUCGGAUCGCAUCCAAAUCGGGGAUGCUCUCAAAGAGUUGCUGGCAAUAAGAGACAGAUUUCAAUAGGCUCCAGCUAGCUCCAAACAAAAAUGUAGUUGUGUUUUGUGACAUCUUUGUUGUAUUAGUGUAAUGGUAUAUCUGCAUUGUUGAAUGUACGUAUAUACAGUGUUGUAUAAGUAUGUUCUAGAACAAGUGCAGGGUGUAGCGCGUGAUUCUGAUUGUGUAAUCAGCCGGUUCGAUUGAUCCUUA